rnacentral:lncRNA from 1 species
GUUUUGACUAGUUUGUGAUAUCGAAAACCCUGGUGUAAUAAUUUUUCAGUAAUACAUAAAUUUCUCUCGUUAAAAUCUAAAACAUUGUUACAUACACGAGCGAAUCGUACAAGUUGAGAUAUAUAAACACCGUAAGAUGGUGACAAGGGAACGUCACCAUCUAAAAACGGAUAAUUAACGAUAGGAAAUAAAAAAUCAUCCCUUUUAUCAUAAAUUUUAGUAUUCAGCU